rnacentral:pre_miRNA from 1 species
UUUAUACACGUUCAUCCAUUUCUAUUGUUUAAAACGGGCGUGGCUGAUGGAAUACCAAACAGUUACACAUGGCAUGCCACAUGUACCUCAUGUCGACAUACGUGGACCAAUUUUUAAUUGUAGAAAUGGAUGAAUUUUAAU